rnacentral:rRNA from 1 species
AACGAACGCUGGCGGCGUGCUUAACACAUGCCAGUCGAACGGAAGGGCCCUGCUUUCGUGGGGUGCCCGAGUGGCGAACGGGUGAGUAGCACAUGAGUAACCUGCGCUUGACUUUGGGAUAACUUCAGGCAACUGCUGCUACUACCGGCUAGGAGCUCCUGCUGCAUGGGGGGGGUCGGAAAGUUUCGGCGGAGGGGGAUGGACUCGGGGGUAAUCAGCUGGUUGGUGGGGUAGUGGCUUACGAAGGCUUGGACGGGUAGCCGGCAUGGGAGGUGGACCGCCGACCAGGGGCCUGAGGGACGGCGCAGAGUCCUAUGGUGGGCAGCAGGGGGGAAUCUUGUCCAAUGGGCGCAAGUCUGUUGAAGCAAUGCUGCGAGCGGGAAGACGGUUUUGGGGGGGUAAACCGCAGUCGCCUGUGACGAAGCGGGAUUGACGGUAACGGGUAAAGAAGCACCGGCUAACUACGUG